GUGCUCACAUGUGAACCAGG
rnacentral:miRNA from 1 species